CAUAAGUGUAAGUUCCAUGUUGGAUCCCAAUGAAAGGAAAAGAGGGGUUUUAAAGCCAAUAAGAAAAGAAAGUUUCACCAAAAAAAGAAAGGAAAACAUCCUUUUAAGAAAAAAAAUGUAGCAAAAGUGAAGUGUUAUAGAACAUGGUAACAAGGGAUAUUUUACUCAUGAUUGGAGUGAGGCUAAAAAGGUAAAAGACAUGUUUGCACAUGUGAGUGCUAUUUUUAAUUCUAGUUCUAUCUUUCUAACAGAAUCUCAUCCUUUAUGGACUGUACCAUAUAGCGAAGGACAUGAAUGCC
rnacentral:lncRNA from 1 species